rnacentral:ncRNA from 1 species
GACUGUCUAAUUAAAACAAAGCAUUGCGAUGGCCCUCGCGGGUGAUGACGCAAUGUGAUUUCUGCCCAGUGCUCUGAAUGUCAACGUGAAGAAAUUCAAACAAACGCGGGUAAACGGCGGGAGUAACUAUGAUUCUCUUAAGGCGUGUGCUCCCCCGACUUCGGCUUGCCGUGGUCUGGGGCUCACUGCGUUGAGUGGAGUCAUGGUUACAUGGUGACCCUGGUUCCUCGCACCCCCGCUAGAAACUAUCUGGGGAGGCCAUGAUUGGGUAACGAUAAAUGUUCUGGUUAUGUCCUCUUGAGAUAGGCUGAAUGGGUCACCAAGUGGCACCUAAAUGGGUUACC